GCCCCUACGGGACGCAGCAGUGGGGAAUAUUGCACAAUGGGGGAAACCCUGAUGCAGCGACGCCGCGUGAGUGAAGAAGUAUCUCGGUACGUAAAGCUCUAUCAGCAGGGAAGAAAAUGACGGUACCUGACUAAGAAGCCCCGGCUAACUACGUGCCAGCAGCCGCGGUAAUACGGAGGAUGCGAGCGUUAUCCGGAUUUAUUGGGUUUAAAGGGUGCGCAGGCGGACCAUCAAGUCAGCGGUAAAAUCGUGGGGCCCAACCCCAUCCCGCCGUUGAAACUGGCGGUCUUGAGUGAGCG
rnacentral:rRNA from 1 species